rnacentral:rRNA from 1 species
UACGUAGGGUGCGAGCGUUGUCCGGAAUUAUUGGGCGUAAAGAGCUCGUAGGCGGUUUGUCGCGUCUGCUGUGAAAACUCGGGGCUUAACUCCGGGCCUGCAGUGGGUACGGGCAGACUAGAGUGCGGUAGGGGAGACUGGAAUUCCUGGUGUAGCGGUGGAAUGCGCAGAUAUCAGGAAGAACACCAACGGCGAAGGCAGCUCGCUGGGACGGUACUGACGCUGAGACGCGAAAGCGUGGGGAGCGAACAGG